CCUGGAUAGUGUGGAGGCAAGUCCGGCGUGAUGGCGCGAGGAGUUGGGGCUCUUAAUUGUGCUAAUUAUCGUUAAGAUGUGAGGCUGUUGUGUUGUUUGUUGGGAAUUCUGGAUGAGAGCAGGAUGGGAUGAUGGGGUUCAGUCCAGGAGGGAUAAUAGGUGCUUAAGGAAAUGUUUUGGAGCUGAGGAAUUUUAAAGACUACAGUUGGGUACUGAUCUGUCAAUGAUCCAGGCG